rnacentral:rRNA from 1 species
GGAGUUAGCCGGUGCUUCUUCUGUGAGUGAUGUCCUUCCUGCCGGCUAUUAACCCGCAGGCCUUCUUCCUCACUGAAAGUGCUUUACAACCCGAAGGCCUUCUUCACACACGCGGCAUGGCUGGAUCAGGGUUGCCCCCAUUGUCCAAUAUUCCCCACUGCUGCCUCCCGUAGGAGUCUGGGCCGUGUCUCAGUCCCAGUGUGGCUGAUCAUCCUCUCAGACCAGCUACGGAUCGUCGCCUUGGUGAGCCGUUACCUCACCAACCAGCUAAUCCGACAUAGGCUCAUCCGAUAGCGCGAGGCCCGAAGGUCCCCCGNUUUCCCCCGUAGGGCGUAUGCGGUAUUAGCCUGGGUUUCCCCCAGGUUAUCCCCCGACUACCGGGCAGAUUCCUAUGCAUUACUCACCUGUCCGCCGCUCGCCACCAGGGAGCAAGCUCCCCGUGCUGCCGCUCGACUUGCAUGUGUUAGGCGUCGCCGCCACGCGUUCACUCUGAGCCGACGGACUACAACUACUCGA